rnacentral:rRNA from 1 species
AUUGAACGCUGGCGGCAUGCUUUACACAUGCAAGUCGAACGGCAGCGCGGGGGCAACCCUGGCGGCGAGUGGCGAACGGGUGAGUAAUGUAUCGGAACGUAUCCUGUAAUGGGGGAUAACCAGUCGAAAGAUUGGGUAAUACCGCAUACGCACGAGAGUGGAAAGUGGAGGAUCGCAAGACUUCACGUUAUAGGAGCGGCCGAUAUCUGAUUAGCUAGUUGGUGGGGUAAAGGCCUACCAAGGCGACGGUCAGUAGCUGGUCUGAGAGGAUGAUCAGCCACACUGGGACUGAGACACGGCCCAGACUCCUACGGGAGGCAGCAGUGGGGAAUUUUGGACAAUGGGCGAAAGCCUGAUCCAGCCAUGCCGCGUGCGGGAAGAAGGCCUUCGGGUUGUAAACCGCUUUAGUCUAGGAAAAAGGGGUGCGAGGUUAAUACCCUCGUGCUUUGAUGGUACUGGAAGAAUAAGCACCGGCUAACUACGUGCCAGCAGCCGCGGUAAAAC